UACAGAGGGUGCAAGCGUUAAUCGGAAUUACUGGGCGUAAAGGGCUCGUAGGCGGCCAACUAAGUCAGACGUGAAAUCCCUCAGCUUAACUGGGGAACUGCGUCUGAUACUGGAUGGCUUGGAUCCGGGAGAGGGAUGCGGAAUUCCAGGUGUAGCGGUGAAAUGCGUAGAUAUCUGGAGGAAUACCGGUGGCGAAGGCGGCAUCCUGGACCGGUAUUGACGCUGAGGAGCGAAAGCCAGGGGAGCAAACGGG
rnacentral:rRNA from 1 species